rnacentral:rRNA from 1 species
AACGAACGCUGGCGGCAGGCCUAACACAUGCAAGUCGAGCGAGGACUUCGGUUCUAGCGGCGGACGGGUGAGUAACGCGUGGGAAUGUGCCCUUCUCUACGGAAUAGCCCUGGGAAACUGGGAGUAAUACCGUAUACGCCCUUUUGGGGAAAGAUUUAUCGGAGAAGGAUCAGCCCGCGUUGGAUUAGGUAGUUGGUGGGGUAAUGGCCUACCAAGCCGACGAUCCAUAGCUGGUUUGAGAGGAUGAUCAGCCACACUGGGACUGAGACACGGCCCAGACUCCUACGGGAGGCAGCAGUGGGGAAUCUUAGACAAUGGGGGCAAGCCUGAUCUAGCCAUGCCGCGUGAGUGAUGAAGGCCUUAGGGUUGUAAAGCUCUUUCAGCUGGGAUGAUAAUGACGGUACCAGCAGAAUAAGCCCCGGCUAACUCCGUG